rnacentral:rRNA from 1 species
UACGUAGGGUGCGAGCGUUAAUCGGAAUUACUGGGCGUAAAGCGUGCGCAGGCGGUUUUGUAAGCCGGAUGUGAAAUCCCCGGGCUUAACCUGGGAAUGGCAUUCGGGACUGCAAGGCUGGAGUGCGGCAGAGGAGACUGGAAUUCCUGGUGUAGCAGUGAAAUGCGUAGAUAUCAGGAGGAACACCGAUGGCGAAGGCAGCCUCCUGGGCCAGCACUGACGCUCAUGCACGAAAGCGUGGGGAGCAAACAGG